UUUCUGGAUUUAAACUGCACGUUAAUCACAACCCUAAAUAUGCUGCAAAAACAAACGGCUGAGAGCAUUUCACCCACACGAAUGAACUGCUGCUCCGCCCAUUUAAACGAAGUGAAAGUCGAGAAGUGACCCAGGAUGACAUAAAUAAAUAUCAGGUUUGUGUGUCCGCACCCUUAGAGGAAUGUGACUGUGGACGUGGCGUGGCAGGAAAAUCCAAGACAAAGACAGACCGGGCUCCUCCACGUGGAGCCUGCCACGGAGCAAAACCCGCAGCGGGGACCAGAGUGGGGGAGGGCGCAGUGCUGCAGAGCGGGGCGGUGCGGGACGGGCCAGAGGUGUUUUUCAGAAAUGAACCUUUAACCUGCGGAAAUCAACGCGUUUCUCCUGUCAACACUCCAGCUAUGCAUUCAGGUCUGCUCAUGGGGUACCGGCUGGUCCCACCUGCUCUGUCCCUGUGUUUCCUCAUAAACCUGAGCCUGGCAGCACCGGGUCUCCCUGGGACUCAAAGG